rnacentral:rRNA from 1 species
CAGCCGCCACGGGAAUACGAAGGGGGCUAGCGUUGCUCGGAAUGACUGGGCGUAAAGGGCGCGUAGGCGGCGAUCAAAGUCAGGCGUGAAAUUCCUGGGCUCAACCUGGGGGCUGCGCUUGAUACUUGGUUGCUUGAGUGGGGAAGAGGGUAGUGGAAUUCCCAGUGUAGAGGUGAAAUUCGUAGAUAUUGGGAAGAACACCAGUGGCGAAGGCGGCUCACUGGACCGACACUGACGCUGAGGCGCGAAAGCGUGGGGAGCAAACAGGAUUAGAUACCCCAGUAGUCCCUGUCUCUUAUAC